rfam:Triticum aestivum genome assembly, contig: Triticum_aestivum_CS42_TGACv1_scaffold_130672_2BL
CUAAUACUCCCUUCAUCCGAAAAUGCUUGCCAUUAAAAUGAAUAAAAAGAAAUAUAUCUAGACGUGUUUUAGUUUUAGAUACAUUUUUUUGGUCCAUUUUGAUGACAAGUAUUUUCGGACGGAGGGAGUACAUA